GCCCCGAACUCUCGGCGUCGUCUCCCUCCGCCGCUGUCGGGGCCUAAGCGGGAGAGGCGGGGACGGCCCCGCUGGGUGGGCUGGGGCGGAAGUGGAGGCGGAGGGAGACGACGGCGGCGUCGUCCGCGGGGCCUCGGGCUCUCGCGGCGAGGCCCUGGUGGGCGCGAGGCAGGGGGAGGGGGCGGAGGAGGAGUCCGCAGCGCGGGCCGCGGCGGCCGAGUUCCCCGUGGGGCCCCGCCUCGGAGCGGGCGGCGGCGACGGCGGAGGAGGAGACUGAGGGGCAGGAUGGCGGCCUCGGCCCUGUACGCCUGCACCAAGUGUACCCAGCGCUAUCCCUUCGAGGAGCUCUCCCAGGGCCAACAGCUCUGCAAGGAAUGUCGGAUUGCACAUCCUAUUGUAAAAUGUACUUACUGCAGAUCAGAAUUCCAACAAGAGAGCAAAACUAACACAAUUUGUAAGAAGUGUGCUCAAAAUGUGAAGCAAUUUGGGACACCCAAACCUUGUCAAUACUGUAACAUAAUUGCAGCGUUUAUUGGUACCAAGUGUCAGCGUUGUACAAAUUCAGAAAAAAAAUAUGGACCACCUCAGACCUGUGAACAGUGUAAACAACAAUGUGCUUUUGAUCGGAAGGAGGAAGGAAGAAGAAAGGUUGAUGGAAAGUUGUUAUGCUGGCUGUGUACUUUAUCAUACAAAAGAGUUUUACAGAAGACAAAAGAACAAAGGAAGACUCUGGGAUCCUCACAUUCAAAUUCAUCUUCUUCAUCUCUUACUGAGAAAGACCAGCAUCAUUCAAAACAUCACCACCACCAUCAUCACCAUCACCAUCGUCACAGCAGUAGCCAUCACAAAAUCAGCAGUUUAAGUCCAGAGCAAGAGCAGGGACUGUGGAAACAGAGCCAUAAAUCCUCUGCAGCAAUUCAGAAUGAAACUCCAAAGAAGAAGCCCAAAUUGGAAUCUAAGCCAUCUAAUGGAGAUAGUAGCUCUAUAAAUCAGUCAGCAGAUAGUGGGGGAACAGACAAUUUUGUCCUCAUAAGUCAACUGAAAGAAGAAGUGAUGUCACUUAAGCGUCUCUUACAGCAAAGAGACCAGACCAUUUUAGAAAAAGACAAAAAGUUAACUGAACUAAAGGCUGAUUUUCAAUACCAAGAAUCAAACUUGAGAACAAAGAUGAACAGCAUGGAAAAAGCUCACAAAGAAACUGUGGAGCAACUUCAGGCCAAAAACAGAGAACUACUCAAACAGGUUGCAGCACUGUCAAAGGUAAUUGAGUCCCAGUCCUGGAUCUGUUGUGUAUUGACAUAUGAGCUGAUAACCUUUAAAUGUGGACCUGUAAGGAGAUAACUAUGGUGUGCUGUAUCGUGCUUUUAGCCUGUUUUCCACAAUUAAUUAGCAUUUAACGUAUGAAAUCCUAAAACAUGGAUGGAGAGAAGUAACUCAGGCCAAACAGUAGAAACUCUGUUCAUUCAGACCAUUUUAGUGCAAAGAUGAGGAGAUAAAUGUGAAUAUAAAUGAAACAGGAAUGUGAGCUGUUAAUUUUGAAAGUACAGCAGAUAUUUCUGGAUCUCAGCAUUUGUUGAAAAGGCAGAAUGUGUGAAACUGACUGCAGUGUGUCUUCACAGUCCAGCAGAGACAGGAGUGGCAGUAAUGGCAGGGGGAGCCAUGAAGUCCCAGGAGCUGCUGUUUCAGUUCCACUCAAUCCAAAGAAAUAAGACAGAAUCCAACAGAUACAAGAAAAUACCUCCCGAGAGACAAGAUUUCUUGCUAAAGUGAUCCAACAGAAGCCAGUGGGGAGAUGGUCGUCACUCACACUGGUCAGCCUCCUCAUUCCUGUUGCAGAUGCCUCAUUAGCUCUCACAUGACCUAGGAAAGAGGAAGGAAUUGGAGACAGGAGUGAGGAUGGAUGAAUGAAGAUGACUGAAACAGACUAUUUGAACCUCCGGGAAAAUUAAAUCAAGACACUCUGGACUUAGUGAUGACAAACACAGCGCAGAGUUUGCUGGGAUAUCAUGAACACUUAGUUCAGCUGGGACUGUAAACUGGGGUGCCUACAUGUGGCUUCUCUGUGGUUUGGGCUUCCUCACAACAUGGUAGACUGGCCCAGCAGAAAAGGUAGGUGCUCUUGGCCACCUGUGACCAAGCCUUGUAAGUCACAUUGUGUCAUUUCUGCUGUGCUCAACUGGUCAAAGAAGCAAACCCCAUCUAGAUACAAAUAAGGCAUAGAUAGCACUUUUCAAUGGGAAGUGUGUUAAGUAAUUUGUUGCCAGGUAGUCAUGAGAGCAACCCUCAGGAACACACCAGGGAAAUUAAGGCAGAAGCCAGCAGGAAAAUCAUAUUGAGUUCCAAUUAAUAAGAGCUAUGGCAACAAAUAAUUUCUGGAUCCACCUGAUGGUGGGUAAAGCUGCUGUUAUGACCCCUGAACUGGUAUGCCUUGGCUUUGGAGCUACAAGGGAAGGAUAUUUAGGGCCCUCAAUGGGAGGAUCUGGAAAAUUAGCUCAGGUGAACCUCUGGGACCCUAAUCACCAAAGAGUUAGUGCGGACAUAUCUGGACCCUGCCUCAAUAAGACAACCAAAAAAUUUGGACACCAAGGAUGCUGAGAAUUUACUCUAAUAUUUGGGUGUGAUAAUAAAAUGAUGUUAUACCUUGGAUUUGCUUUAAAGUACUCUGAUGAGGGGAGGAAGAGGUAAUGGGGUAUGGAUGAAGCACCACCAGCUGUAUGUUGAUAAUUAUGGUAGUGGGUACAUGGGAGUUCUUUAUACUAUUUUCUUUCAUUGUAUGCUUGAAAACUUUCACUUUAAAAAUUUAAAAAUCUUGCAUAUAAGUGCAUGUGCAUACCGGUGUACAUACAGAUAGAAAAUAACCACUAGAGUACAUUUGCUAUAUUUAAAACAGCAAUGAGAAAUUUCUAAUGAAGAAUUUUUGAAUUUGCUUAGUUAUUAUUAUUUUUAAAGAAUAUAUAUUUAUUUACCUGAAAGAGUUACAGAUAAAGGAAGAGAGAGAGAAAUAUAGAGAGAGAGAGGAGCCAUGAACUUCAACGGGGUCUCCCACAUGGGCAGUAGGGACCCAAGUGCCUCUGAGCUAUCUUGUGCUGCUUUUCCCAGGUCAAUAACAGGGAGCUGGACUGGAAGUGGAGCAGCCAAGACUUGAGUCAUCACCCAUAUUGGAUGCUGGUGUCACAGGUGGCACGUUUAUCCACUACACCACAGUGCUGGCUCCCAUUAAUUAUUAUUUCUAUGGACAACAAUAAUGUAGCACUUCAUAUAUAUAUAUAUUUUUUUUUUUUUUUGACAGGCAGAGUUAGACAGUGAGAGAGAGAGACAGAGAGAAAGGUCUUCCUUUUCUGUUGGUUCACCCCCCAAAUGGCUGCUAUGGCCAGCAUGCUGCGCCGAUCUGAAGCCAGGAACCAGGUGCUUUCUCCUGGUCUCCCAUGUGAGUGCAGGGCCCAAGCACUUGGACCAUCCUCCACUGCCUUCCCGGGCCACAGCAGAGAGCUGGACUGGAAGAGGAGCAACUGGGACAGAAUCUGGCGCCCCGACUGGGACUAGAACCAGGUUAUUCUGGCGCCGCAGGCGGAAGAUUAGCUGAGUGAGCUGCCCUAGCACUUCAUAUUUUAUGAAACACUUCACAAUUCUACAAGGCAGGCAGAGGAAUUUAGGCAAAGGGAAAAAAAGGGACAUGUUCAAGGUCACAUAGUAAAUGGAAAACCCAAAUGUCAAAUUUCAGCCUUUUGACUUUAUAACUUGUUGCUGUUAUAUAGGAAGUUACUGUGAAAGAGUGGCUUUUAACUGAUAGGGAUUAUAUGACAUUUUGAUGACUAAUCAAAGUUACGAACCUCUUAUUAGAGAAAUGUUUAUGUGCCCACAUUCAAAGAUAGCAGGACAACUUCAGGGUUGGCGAGGUUCAUUUUCCCCAAAACAUGUAGCUCAUUUAUGGGUAAGCAUAUUUGGUCUGUCAAAAAUAGAUUUAUCUCCUUUAAUUGUUGUCAUUUCUCAAACUUCAUCCAAUUAACCACAUUAGAUCUGCUCUCUAAUUUUCUCUCCUUAGAGAGGAGAGAAAAAUGAUCUCCACACGAAGCAUAAAAGGGCAUCCUGACUUAGCCUUAUAUCAGCAGCUUCCCACAAGCCCCACACAGAGCCAUUUUAUGUUGCAACAGUUAAUUUAUUCAUCAGUGGGGGCAGCAUUGCAGCAUAUUGGGUUUACCCACCAUGAUACUGCCAUCCCAUAUGGGUGCUGGUUCAAGCAAGUCCCAGCUGCUCCACCUCUGAUCCAACUCCCUGCUAAUGAGCCUAGGAAAGCAGCAGAAAAUGGCUUCAGUAGUUGAGUCCCUGCUACCCAUAUGGGAGAUCCAGAUGAAGCUCCUGGCCCGUGACUUCUGCCUGGCCCAGUCCUGUACAUUGUAGGCCAUUUGGGGAGUGAACUAGUGGGUAGAAGAUCUCACUCUUGUGUCUCCUUCUUUCUCUGUAACUCUGCCUUUCAAAUAAAAUAAAUAAAUCUUUCAAAAAAAAUCUAUCAAUCCCCAGAUCUUUUACAGUGUUUUCAGUUCAAAACCAUCACAUUUCUGAGAAAUUGGGAUAUUAUUGUUCACAAUCUAUCUAUUACUGAAAUGGAAAACUUUUCCCAUGGCAUAGAUAAUUAAUCUUUCUUCUGUGCUCCUAUAGCUUUAUGAGCAAGUCACUAUCAAAUGAGUUCACAUUAUGUUACAAAUAGUCAUAUAUACAAUCUUAACUUUGUUAUGAAAUAUCUACCUUGAUCUUUCAGGAGACUGUGUGCCCAUGGGAACAGGAAUCCUAUCCCCUCAUCAUUAGGGAAUGGCUAGCACAAGCCAUCACACUUAGCAACAGUGAAAUAAAUACUUCAUGAAUUAAUAUGUAACUCCAAACAUAAUAUUAGUAAUUAUUUAAAACAGUAAGCAAUACAAAACAAAGCCACCUGCAAAUACUUGCCAGGUCUAACUCUAUCAUCCUUUGGAGGUCAAUUAAGUAGAAAUUGUUUUGAGUGGUUUCUUCCAUUGCUUUCCUGAGGAGGAGGAGAGAUUUAUUUUGGUUAAAUGUUAUUAAAAGUUCUCCAGUUUUGGGCCAGCGCCAUGGCUCACUAGGCUAAUCCUCCGCCUGUGGCACUGGCACCCCAGGUUCUAGUCCCUGUUGCUCCUCUUCCAGUCCAUCUCUCUGCUGUGGCCUGGGAAGACAGUGGAGGAUGGGCCAGGUGCUUGGGCCCUAUACCCGCAUGGGAGACCAGGAGGAAGCACCUGUCUCCUGGCUUCGGAUUGGCACUGCGCGCCGGCUGUAGUGGCCAUUUGGGGGGUGAACCAACAGAAAAGGAAGACCUUUCUCUCUGUCUCUCUCUCUCUCACUAACUCUGCCUGUCAAAUAAAUAAAUAAAUAAAAAUUAAAAGUUCUCCAGUUUUGUUAACUACCUUUCUGGAGACGAAGCCUUGAUCUAAUUAAAAUGUUCAUUCCCAGUGACUGUCCAAGAGACCUUUGUGUCUACCUGGAUUAAUCAGGUGUUUUCUUCUGGAUUAAAGAACAAAGGCAGAGCUGUUGUCUCCAGAUGGCAUUUGCUAAGGACAGGUGUUACUUUGGUAAAAGCAAUAAAGCAUGAGCUACUCUCCUCUCACUGCUGGAGGGUGGCCUUUCUGUGCAGUCCCUCAGUGGUGAGUGGGAUUCUGAAUAGAAGGAUAAUUAGGCAGGAAAUUCUGCUGAGAGAUAUUUUGUGGGAAAAAGGAGGACAUGGUGUACCUCGUGGUGAAUUCAGAACAAGGCAAUGGGUGAGGAAGCAGGGCAACGUUGCAAAAUGUAAGAGUACAAAAUCUUUAAAUGGAAAUCCUACCAAUAUAAACACCUUGGGGCUUCUUUGACAUUUUUCAUUUUGUUCUUUCUCAAAGUCUCUUCACUUAUGAAAAAGGAUUACUAAGGGCUUUUAAGAGGGGAGUUAAGUCUUUUGUAGCUUGUGAAUUUUACUUAAAUCAGAAAAACGUUUUGCCUAAAGUAUAAUAGCAAGCAAAACAGUGUUUGAGUUUUCUUUCCAGAUGUGAUGAGGUAGCUGGAGCUGACUUGCCCUCCCACCAAAAGUACUAGAAAAUUGGAAAAACAGUAUGUAUUAAAUAACUGUCUUUAAACUUUGGGCAACAGUCAGAGCAGAUCUAUCAUGCAUGUGAGAAGGUAAAUAUGGGCUGUGCACAGACCCCAGAUUUUUGUACUUCAUGGAUGGUAGUACACAAAAGUAGUACCUAAGGAGAACUCAGUGGCCUUGUGUGGAGGACACAGAAAUCAGACAUUAAGGAGGUUGAGGGAACUGGAGUUAGGAGGGCAGGGAAUGGGAGAGUAGAAAAACAAGCAGAGGAAGAGCACCAGAAACCUACAUAGAGGUCCAGUCAAGUUUCUUGCUGAAAACUGAACUCCACGCACAGAGGAUGGAAGCUCCUCCAGAUCAGGCACAGAAAUAGUAGGGAGCUGUAAAAUAAGCAAUUUCUGGAGAUCCUAGUUGUCUUAGUCUAUUUGUGCUGCUGUAACAAAAUGUCUGUGACUGGGUAAUAUAAACAAUGGAAAUUUACUUGUCACAGUUAUGCAGAGUCCAAGAUCAAGGUGCCAGUAGGCUCGGUACCCAGUGGGGACUUUGUCUAUGCUUACAAGAUGGUGCCCUGUAGCUGUACCUUCCAGAGGAGACAAAUGCCAUAUUCUCACGUGGUGGGAAGAAUAGGCAGCUAAGGAGCCUAGCUAGUUAGAUCACUAAUCUCUUAUUAGAUCACUAAUCGGAUACAGGAGGGCAGGGCCCUUGUAGUCUAGUACCCUCCUAAAGAUUAUUACUAUUUAGGAAGUCUAUAACCUCCUAAAGUUUAUUACUAAAACUAGCAAUGGAGAUUGUUUCAACAUGCUUUUUGGAGGAACCAAAACAUCUAAACUAUAGCAUUAUGCCCCUAGCCGCCCCCCCCCCAUAUAUUAUUUCCUUCUCUCAUUUAAAAAAAUUCACUCCCCAGAAGUUUUAACUCACUUCAACAUCAACUUUUAGGUCAAGUCCAGAAUCUCAUCUAAAUAUCAAUUAAAUCAAAUAUGGGUAAGACUCAAGACAUGAUUCAUUCUGAGAUAAAUUUCUCUCCAGCUGUGAACUUAUAAAAUCAAACAAGGUAUAUGCUUUCAAAAUAUAAUUGUGCAACAGGCACAAGAUAGAAAAUUUUAUUCCAAAAUUGAUAAGAGGAAAGAAGAAAUAACAGGUUCUGACAAAACCCACAACCUAACAGGGCAAACAUUCAUCCUAGGGCUUGAGGAUAAUUGUCUUUGACUCCAUGCUCUGCCUUUUAGACAUACUGGGGAAGGAUUGGGUCCAUUAGGCUCUGAAUGGCUCUGCUCCCAUGAUUUCACUGGGUGCAGACCAAACAGUAUCCCUCAGAAGUUGGAGUUGGGUGCCUGAAGUUCUUCUAGGCUGGUAUUGCAUGCCUGGGUCCCAAGGAAGGCUCUGCCCACAGGAUCCAUCAUGCAUUGCCCUAGUGAGAAUUCUCUGCAGUGGCUUUGCUAUUGUGGACUUUUGCCUAAUCUCUGAUACUUUCUGAGACAUCUUUUGAAAUCUAAGUUAAGGUAGUCAUCCUUUCAUAGCUCAUGCACCCUGGGCACCUAUAGAAUUGGUGCCACUUGUAUACUGCCAAUAGUUAUCACUAUGCCUUCUGGGAUGGUGGUCUGAACCACACUUCAGUCUACUUGAAUGGUAGCUAGGAUGUUAAAGAGAACUGUGCUAGAAUGUAGGAGACAGAACCAUGAGCCAUCCCACAGGAGCCCUGGACUCCUCUUUUGAAAUUGUCUGCCUUCAAGGCCUGCAAUUCUGGGCCUCUGAUGGAUGGGGCGCAGAAAAUGCCUUUGGUGACAUUCUUUUGUUGUCCUGAUGAAUAGUAUAUGACUUUCUUCAAUUCAAACUGAUCUCCUUAGCAAACAUUCACUAGCUCACAUCUUUAGAAUUCUCUUCCAGAGAUGCCAUUUUUAUUUGCUACAUUACCAGAUUGAGAAUUUUCCACAUUCUUUUAGUUCUAUUUCCCUUUUGGUUAUAAAUCCCAUCUUUAAUUCAUUUCUCUCUUCUUGUGUUUUACCAUAAGCAGUCAGGAGAAGCCAGACAGCACCCUGAACACUUUGCUUAAAGAUUUCUUCUACCAAAUAUCCUAUCUCAUAUCUCUUAAUUUUUUUUCAUAAAGCAGCUGAAUAGUGACACAAUUCAGCCAACUUCUUUGUGAUUUUACAACAAGGAGGGCCAUUCCUCUAGUUUGUAAGACCUUGUUCCUCAUUUUCAUUUGAGACUUUAUCAGAAUGGUCUUUAUCAUUCAUAUUUCUAUCAACAUUUUAGAACAAUUGCCUAAGUAAUUUCCAAAAAGAUUUAGGCUGCCUAUAGCCCUAUUAUUCUGAGCCCUCACUAGAAUCUUCUUUAGCCAUGUAAGCAUUUCCUAGCAUCAGUCGUCAAACUCUUCUAACCUCUACCCUCCAUCAGUUCCAACCCUACUCACACAUUUCAGGUGUUUUUUAUGGUAUCGUCUUACCUCAGUUCUUGUUGCUGUAACAAAAUAGCAGUAACUAGGUCUUUUAUAAAUAACAGAAUUUUAUUCUUCACAGAUCUGGAUGUUGAAAAGAACAAAAUCAAGGCAUCAGCAUAUUUGCUGUCUGCUAAGAGUUGCUUUCUGUUCCCAAGAUGGCAUGAUAUUGCUAUGUCCUCACAUGGCAAAUAGGAUAGAAGAACAAAAAAGGGUCUAGCUAGUUCCUGCCAGUAUUUCUGUAAGGUUGCUAGCCUCAUUUAUGAAAGUGGAGCCCUCAUGAGCUAAUCACUUCCUAAAGGUCCCAUCUCUUUGUACUAUUGCAUAGAGGGAUUACAUUUCAACAUAUAUUGUACAGUAGAAAUACUUGACUGAAAGUUAUUUGAGUUCCAACUAUUCAAACAGGUGAAACCUCACUGAAUAUUAAAUAAGACCCCAGAAGAUGCACAGCUUAGUAGCAGGAUUAAACCAGUAAUAGAAUAAAGUAGAAAUUCAUGCAAACUUAAAAACAGACCUCAAAAUUCUCAAGCUGAUCCAUAUAUAUUUUAAUUUUCUGGCAAAAGAAACUUAAGUAUACUUAAUAAGAGACAACGAAAUAUAGACCCUGACCAGUACAAUAAUUAUAAUUUUCAGCAUCCAAUAGAAAUUUCUAGACAGGUAAAGAAGCAGGAAAAUGUAACCCAUAACCAGGGUGGAAAAAAAUCAGUAGUAACAAAGCUAGAAGUGACAAGAAAGAUAGAAUUAACAUAUAAUGAUUUUAACAUUGCUCUAACAAAUGUGCUCAAGAAGUUAAAGAAAAGCAUGAAAUUAGUAGAGAAAUAAAAACUUAUUUCAAAAAUAAGUACAUAGGAGUGCCAAGGAUGAAAGGUCAGUAUGUAAAAUGAAAAUGUUACAGGGUAGAUUUAAUAGACUUAAUGGUAUAGAAUUAAAAAAAAGGUCAUUGAAACUGAAAAUUUAGAAAUAACAGCUAUCCAAACAAAAGCAUAGAAAGAAAUAAAUGACCAAAAUAAAUGAAUAGGGUGAUCUUUGGGACAACUCUACUUGUGCGUACUUGGAAUCCAAGAAGGAAAAAGGGGGUAGGAAAAGUAUAUUAUGAAUAAAGGAGAAAGAUUUCCAAAUUGGACUCAAGACUACAAAAUUACAAAUACAAGUAAUUCAACAAAGCUCAACUAAAAUUAACAAUCACACCAACAAGUAAAUAAAUAAAGCAUGCAUGGCAUAUCUUGAUCAGAUAUCUGAAAAUCAGUGAUAAAGAAAAUAUUGUAAAAAUAUAAGAAGUGAUAUCAUGAUAAAAUAUAUGAAGAACAAAGAUAAAAAUGAUAUAAGAAGCAAUACAAGCCAGUACAUAACAGAAUAGAUUUAAAAUGACAAAAGAAGAAUAAAAGAACCCUUUUACCUUACCUCUAGAUUAAAUAAAAAUAUCCUUUAGUGAGUGAAAUACUUAUUCAGAAAAACAUAAAAGAUACAAGCAAUAGCAUAGGUUUAAACCUAACCAUAUCAAUAAUUCAUGACAUGUAAGUGGUCUCUAAAGGCCCUAAAUAAAAGUCAAAGAUUAUAAAACUGAGUAGAAAAUAAAAGAUAAGACUCAACUCUAUGCAACCUGUAAGAAAUCUACUUUGAAUAUCAAAGUCUAAUUUAAAGGCAAAAGACUGAAAAAAUUUAAAAAAUAAAAGAAAAAUAGAGUGGCUAUAUUAAUAUUAAAGUAGGCUCAGAACAAGGUAUAUAAUCAUAAUAAAGAAUGACAUUAUGAUUUAAACUUCCAGUUAUAAUUAUGCAUAAGGUACCCUAAAGAACAGCACCCAAAGUAAACAGAAGAAAAGGAAUAAUAAAGAUAAGAACAGAAAGCAGUUAAACAGAAAGUGGACAAACAGGGGAUGGCAUUAUGGUGCAGCAGGAUAAGCUACUGCCUGUGAUGCUGGCAUUGUGUUUGAGUGCAGGUUUGAGUUCCAGCUGUUCCACUUCUGUUCCAGCUCCCUGCUACUGCACCUGGGAAAGCAGUAGAAAAUGGCCCAGGUGGGGUCCUGCCACCCACGUGGGAGACCUGGAUGCAAUUCCAAGCUUCUGGUUUUGGCCUGGUACAGCCCAGGCAUUAUGGCCAUUUGGGGAGUGAACCAGUGGAUGGAAGAUCUCUCUCUCUGUCUCGAUUGCCCUAUCUGUUACUCUGCCUUUCAAAUAAAUAAAAUAAAUCUCUUUGAAAUAAAUAGUGGGCAAACAGAAAAUAUCAACAAAACUACAUGUGGAUUCUUUGGAAAGAUCAAUAAAAUUGAUAAGCCUCUAGCCAGAGUGUUCAGAAGAAAAAAGAGAGGGAUACAAAAGCCAGUAUCAAAAAUUACAGAGAAUUCUCCACCAGAAAUGAGCAUUACAUUAAAUUCUGCAUAGUACAUAGUAAAAGAUUCCUGUUUCUUUAUCUGGACUUUGAAAUUAUUAUGAAUGGAUUUCUGUAAAAAAAUUGGUGAAAUUUAGACAUAUAAACAAUAGACAUUUCUCAGCACAAAUUAUGAAAACUCACAUAAGUAAAAAUGGAAUCUUUUCAAUAGCCCUCUAUGUAAUGAAGAGAUUAUAUUUACCAUGAAAAGAUUUUGGGCAAAGAAUAUUACAGAUUUGCUAGGCUGCUUCAUUGGUGAAUUCCAUCGAACACUUUUUUUUUUUAAAAGAUUUAUUUAUUUAUUUAUUUAUUUGAAAAUCAGUUACAGAGCAAGAGGGAGAGAGAUCUUUCAUCCACUUGUUCACUCCCCAGAUGGCCUCAAUGACCAGGGCUGGGCCAGGCUGAAGCCAGGAGCCAGGAGCUUCAUCCAGGUCUGCCACGUGGGUGGUAGGGGUCCAUACACUUGUGCCAUCUUCCACUACUUUUCCAAGGCCUUUAGCAGGGAACUGGAUUAGAAGUGGAGCAGCCGAGACUGGAACUGGUGCCCAUUUGGGAUGCUGGUGGUGAUUUUAUCCACUAUGCCGCAAUGCCAGCCCCUCCUUCAAACAUUUAAAUGAAGAUAAAAAUCAUACAUAAGCUUUUUUUGGAAAAUAGCAUAGGAGGAAAUUGUUCUUAAUUUGUUUUAUGAGGCUGUCUUGCUCAAAUAACAAUAACAUACCAACACAUAAUAGGAAAACUGUAGAGCCAUGUCCCUCAUGAACAUGAACACAUAAUUACUCUGCCAAUUAGAAACAAAUGGAAUAAAUUAGAGAAAAUACAAAAUGAACAAAUAUUUAUCCCAGGAACACAAAGUUGGUUUACGUUCAAAAUCAUUAAUAGCAUCAUCAUUCACAAUUGAGUAAAUAAUAAAAAUGACAUGAAUACUAUUAGAUGCAGAAAAGCAGUGAGCAAAAUUGAACACAUAUUUAUGGCAAAAUACUUCAGCAAAUUAGGAGUGAAAGGUAAAAUUUUAUCUUGAUAAAUGCAUCUACCAAACAAACAAAACAAAACAAAACCCUCAUAGCUACCAGCACAUUUAAUAGUGAAAGGCUCAAUGUAAGACUGGGAACGUAGGAUCCAGCCUUGUGGCACCAUGAGUUAAACUACUGUAACCUGUGACACUGGCAUUCCAUAUGGGUGCUCAUUUGAGUCCCAAAUGCUCCACUUAUUUUUCCACCUCCUUGCUAAUGCAACUGGAAAAGCAGUGAAAGUGCUUGGGUCCCUACAUCCAAGUAGGAGACCCAGGUGGAGUUCCAGGCCCCUGGCUUCAGCUUGUCCCAACCCUGGCCUAGGCCAAUGUGGCUAUUUCAGGAGAGACGAGUGGAUAAAAGAUCUGCCUGUCUCUUUCUCUCUGCGUAAUUCUAUCAUUCAAAUAAAUAAAUCUUUUUUAAAAAAAGGAUUGGCAAAAUAGCAAGAAUAUUUGUUUUUAACAUUUCUAUUUGAUUCUGCACUGGCUCUAGUCCAUGUUCCUAGUCCACACAAAGAAAGAUGAAGAAAAAAGGAAUGCACGUUAAAAAGGGAGAAAGAAAUCUGUCCUUAUAAACGUAAGACAUGAUCACAUAUGUACAAAACCCUAAAAAAAAUACAAGAAACUUAUUGGAACAUACAAGUGAAUUUAGUAAGGUUGCAGGAUAUAAUAAAAGUUAUAGCAUUUAUAAUUGCAUAAAAUAAUUAGGGACAAGUUUUAAAAUGGUGUUAAGAUUAUAUACCAUAAGACCUUAAAACUGUAAAACUAUUUAGAAAGAAAUGAAAAACUACAUAAAUGAUAAGAUAUACCAGGUUCAUGGAUUGGAAUACUGCAUAUUUUUAAGAUAUCAAUUCUUCCUGACUUGAUGUAAGAUUUUACCUCAAACAUAGCAUAUUUCUUUGGAAGAGUUGUCAAGUUGAUUCUCCAAUUUCUAUGAAAAUACAAAGAGCCUAGAAAAGCAGUUUUGGGAAAGAACAAUAUUGGAGGUUGACACUGCCAUAUAAAAAUAGUACAUGUAAUUUUUAUAGCAUAUAAUACUUGAAUGAUAAUAAAUGUUACUGUUUUAUACACUUAUUGUACUAUAUUUUUUUAUCAUUAUUUUAGAAUGUACUCUACUUGUUAAAAAAUGUACUCUACUUGUUAAAACAGUAUGCCAUGCCAUAUCAUGCCAGGAGCAGGGCUUAUACAUCUCAUCUUUACCACAUCUUUACAUCAUUAUCUCUUGUGCUUGAUUUAACUCAUGUCUUAUUCCUCACGGUGCUAGCAGAAAUAGACUAUGUCAUUUAUAUACCAUAUAACCUUGUUUUGAGGCAGGCCAUUCUAAGUAAGUUUGUGUAAGUACACUUGACAUUUUUGUACAAUGAUAAAAAUGUCCAGUUAUGCAGUUCUCAGAAUAUGUUCCUGUCCUAAAGAGACACACGACUCUACUUGGCUUCAAAACUUGCAAAAACUAAUCAGGACAGUAUGGUAUUGAUGUAAGGAUAGAUACACAGGUCAAUAGAACAGAAGACCACACAUACAACACUAUUAACACCACUACCCACGUGAGAAGGAUAUUCAGAAUGUUCAUAAAAAGUGUGCAUUAUGAAAAAAUUAUGUAUGGAUUACAGAAUUUUUUAUAUCAAGAUAAAUUUAUCUUCUAUUUUUUUCUUUUUUUUUCACAUUGGGAGAUUUUUAUUAACUUGACAUUCUUUUUUUUUUUUUUUUUGACAGGCAGAGUGGACAGUGAGAGAGAGAGACAGAGAGAAAGGUCUUCCUUUGCCGUUGGUUCACCCUCCAAUGGCCACCGCGGCUGGCGUGCUACGGUCGGCGCACCGCGCUGAUCCGAUGGCAGGGGCCAGGUACUUAUCCUGGUCUCCCAUGGGGUGCAGGGCCCAAGGACUUGGGCCAUCCUCCACUGCACUCCCUGGCCACAGCAGAGAACUGGCCUGGAAGAGGGGCAACCAGGACAGAAUCCGGUGCCCCGACUGGGACUAGAACCCGGUGUGCCGGCACUGCAAGGCGGAGGAUUAGCCUAGUGAGCCGCAGCGCUGGCUAACUUGACAUUCUUAAUUUUGUCUAUUAUCUCCUUAGUAAAUGUGCCUUAAGUAAUACAAACCUACAAGUGUUUCUUAAUACCACAGAAUCAUGAAGAUUUGCAGUUAUCCAUGUUUUAUAAUGAUUAAAACAAUGCUCAAAAAUUAACAUGUUACUUCACUGAAAUACUUAAAAGAACAUUCUGAGGAGUGUUUGAAAGCUCUGUUUAUAAAUAGUGAUUGAUACAUUUAUUACUUAUGUUAUGCUGAAGAUAAACACAUCUUAUAAAAAACACUUUUAAUACACUGCUUCACUAAUGAGAUAUAUUUUAACCCUAAAGAAUAAAGCUUUAUCAUAAUAUAUUUAUAGGAAUUUUAUCCAUGAAGAAUUUCGUAUACAACAAUAAUAAACAGGCAUAUUGCGAGUGACAUUCUGUAAAGCAAAAAAGGACAGCUGCAAGAAAAGAAACCAGAUACCUGCAUUAAACAUUCUUUGUACAAACAGUCCAUUGGGAACAGAAUGCAUACCAAAUAUUUUUAAAAGUUCGUGUGGCUAGAUGGUAAUUACAAUCUCCACACGUUAAAAAGAAAAAGAACAAUAACACAGAACACAGUAUUCUUAACAAUUGUAACACAUUUAAGACCUUCAGCCAUUUCACUGGGUUCUCAGAUCAAAUUGGUAAUUGAAAUUUGACAUCCACAUGGGCUUGCUUGGCUAAAGUCACUAUUUCAGACAGCUUUACAACCAUUCUAGCAGCUUCAUCCAAAUCAUUACAAGCAAGAAUUUUAAGUCCACUGUCUGCUAUCAGUGCCUUAGCAUCACCAACCCGUGUACCUUGUAAUCGUACCACAACAGAUAUUUUAAUUUCCAAAUCUUUUACUGCCAUGACUAUACCUUGUGCAAUAACAUCACAUCACAUGAUUCAUCCAAAAAUGUUAACCAGAAUGGCUAGUACCUUUUUAUCUGAAGUGACAAGCUUAAAUGCUUCUGUUACUUGAUGGGCUGUGGCACCACCACCACCAUCAAGAAAGUUGGCUGGAGUCCCUCCAUGAAGCUUUAUUAUCUCCAUUGUGGCCAUAGCCAAACCAGCACCAUUUACUAGGCAGCCUAUAUUUCCAUCAAGACCAAUGUAGUUGAGAUCUGCCUUCGCUGCAUCUUUGUCCCUUUCAUCUUCCUGGGUCCAGUCCUGGAGAUCAAAGAUUUUCUUUUGGUGAUAUGCUGAAUUAGAGUCAAAUUAAACUUUGCAUCCAUACACAGCACAGCUCCAUCUGAAUCUUCCACCAUUGGAUUUAUUUCUACCAUGGUUGCAUCAUAUUUCAGAAAAAGGUUGUAAAGCUUGACCAUGUUUUCUGCUGCAGAAUCCACAAUGUUAGGUGGAAAUCCCAUCUUCUCUGCAAGCCGGACAGCUUGUUCCUUUUUGAUUCCUUCUACAAUAUCAAUAGGUUCUUUAACUAUCGCAUCAGGAGUCUCAGCAGCAACAUCUUCAAUGUUAAUACCACCUUGUGAACUUCCUAUUAAUGCAGGACCUUGAAAUGGCCUUUCCAUUGCUAUUGCAAAGUAGUAUUCUCUUCUGGGAUAUUUUCACUCACAGAUCAAAACUUGAUUGCGUAUUCUGCCCUUUUCUCCAGUUUGCUUGGUAAACUACCUUUUCCCAAUCAUUUGUGAAGAAAUAGCUUUUGCUUCUUCUGGAGAGAAAACAAUCUUUACUCCUCCUUUGAGGCCACGUUCAGAUGUUCCUUUUCCUCUACCACCAGCUAAAACCUGUGCCUUUAUCACAACAUCUUUUGAGCCUAAUUUUUUGGCAAUUGCAUAAGCUUCAUCUGGUGACUUUGCCACAAAUCCUUUGGGAACGGAGACACCAGCUUCUUGCAACAAUUCCAUACUCAUGUAUUCGUAUAGUGAAAGAUUCCUUUGCUGCUGCUGCUGUACUUGGAGUCCAUGAUUAUUAAAUAAUCCAGAACUUCCAAGAACCUGAGCAGCAGCCCGCAACGCCGUCCGGGGCCGGUGGCUCCUAAGGGUGGCGUCAGCCAACAGCCCUAAUUCUAUUUUUUUUUCACAGAGAGGGAUAGAUCUUCCAUCUACCUGUUGAUUCCCUAAAUGCCCCCAAUAGCCAGGUGUAGGCCAGGCUGAAACCAGCAGCCAGGAACUCCAUCUGAAUCUCCCAAGAACCUGGUCUAUCAUCUGCUGCCUCACAGGUGCAUUAACAGGAAGCUGGAUCAGAAGCACAGAGUAGCUGGUACUCAAAAGACACUGGGAUAUGGGAUGUGGUCAUCCUAAGUAGUGGCUUGACAUGCUGUACCAUGCUGCCUGCCCUUCACAGAUUUUUUUUUUUUUUUGACAGGCAGAGUGGACAGUGAGAGAGAGAGAGAGAGAGAGAGAGAGAAAGGUCUUCCUUUUCCAUUGGUUCACCCCCCAAUGGCCGCUGCGGCCGGCACACUGUGGCCGGGGCACAGCGCUGAUCUGAAGCCAGAGGCCCGGUGCUUCUCCUGGUCUCCCAUGCGGGUGCAGGGCCCAAGGACUUGGGCCAUCCUCCACUGCACUCCCGGGCCAUAGCAGAGAACUAGACUGGAAGAGGAGCAACUGGGAUAGAAUCCGGCGCCACGACAGGGACUAGAACCUGGUGUGCUGGUGCUACAGGCGGAGGAUUAGCUUAUUGAGCUGCAGCACCGGCUGCUCUCCACAGAUUUUUAAAGUACCCAUGUGUGUGUGUGUGUGUCUGUGUGUAUGUCAAAUGGCCUUUACAUCUCUCCUUUUCCACAAAUGACGCUGAUACAACUGGCUAUCCAUUUAGGAAAUAAAGUGAACACAAUACCAUACUAUAUCCUCUUUUUCAGGUAGCAACUUGAAAUGGUUCAUAGAUUUAAAUAUAAAUGCCAAUACUCUGAAACUGUUUGAAGAAAACUUAGAAAAUAUUCAUCACUUGUUGACAUAUAUUAGGAACACAACAACCAUGAAAGAAAAAACUGCAAAUUUCAUAAUUAAAAUCUUCUGCUCUUCAUAAGACACAUUAAAAAUGAAAAGGCAAGAAUUAACUUAGUUAAAAUAUUUUGAAACAUAUACAUUCAGGAACAAGUCUCGGAAUUCAAUAGUAAGAUGAAAAUCAAUAAUAACCGUUAUAAUUCAAUAGUAGAUGAAAACCCCAAGUAGAAAAUGGAUUAACAAUCUGAAUAGACACUCCAUAAAAGAUUACAAAUGGCCAAAAAUGCAUGAAAAAUAGUAAACAUCACUAUUCAUUAGUCAAUGAAAAUUAAAACACAAUGAGAUGCAUUCACACAUUCACUAGAAUUACUGAAGUUAAAAAAUACAAUAAUAAGGCCAGCACCGUGGCUCAAUAGGCUAAUCCUCUGCCUGCGGCGCCGGCAAACCAGGUUCCAGUCCUGGUCGGGACACCGGAUUCUCUCCUGGUUGCCCCUCUUCCAGUCCAGUUCUCUGCUGUGGCCCGGGAAGGCAGUGGAGGAUGGCCCAAGUCCUUGGGCCCUGCAGCCGCAUGGGAGACCAGGAGGAAGCGCCUAGCUCCUGGCUUCGGAUCGUCGCCAGCAUCUGUUGUUGGUAGAUUUCUGUAUGUGAGCCAUUCCAGCUGGGGUGAGGUGAAACCUCAUUGUGCUUUUGAUUUGCAUUACCCUAAUGGCUAGUGAUCCUGAACAUUUUUUCAAGUGUCUUUUGGCCAUUUGAAUUUCCUCUUUUGAAAAAUGUCUUUUUAGGUCCUUGGCCCAUCUCUUAAGUGGGUUGUUUGUUUUGUUGUUGUGGAGUUUCUUGAUAUCAUUGUAGAUUCUGGUUAUUAAACAUCUUAAAAUUAUAGAAAUGUAUUGAUGGUGCCACCAUCAUUAACAGGUAUAUACUUAGGACAGAUAUAUAUGAUUUUAUCACAUCUCAUUAAACUGUACUUAAAAAUGCAUUUUAUUGCAUAUAAUUUAUGCCUGAAUUAAGUUGAUUUUUGAAAAGGCACUUUCAUUGACAAAAAGGCUACUAUGAAAUGCCUCCCUGAUUGAUGACUGCUCAGCCAUGAGCAGUCAUCUUACUAGUUACAUGGAUGCACAUUAUACGGAAUCAAUAGCCAAAUUAACAUACAGAUAUAGCUCCUUUGGGAAAGCAUUGAAGGCUUUGCCAAACUAGGAUUUAUCAUGGGUUCUGUGUUGUGAGAGGCGCAAUGUGGUGAAAAGUGUGAUUGAGAGAUCCCAAGGAGAGAAAAGGGAAGCCAAAUGCACACAGUGGACUUGACAAGGUGCUAGGUCUCAGAGAUCUCUGAGUAGAGUGAAAGGCCAGAAAGAUAAAUACUAUUCACUUCUAGGGUUUUGACCCCUUGUGAGAAUGAGUACUAAAAGAUACAGAAAGGGAACAAAAUGUAAGAAGUGGGCGAUUCACAUGGGGACAAAGGCUCACAAACUCUUGACUGCCCUACAUGUAGUUCUUUGGCAGUAAUAGCUCAGGUUUAUAUAGUGUUUCCUGUGUAAUCACAUUCUUAAAAGGACAUCUGCAUCUGUAUCUAUACUAUAUGAGUUUUUAUGCUUAUGCCUACAGCUAGAUACUGAUAAAUGUAUACUGAUAUGUAUACAUACGUAUUAAUUUAUCUACCACGAUAACAGCUCUGAUUAUCAUCCCUAUCUGACUAUUUCAUAACAAACUUACCUGCCCAAAGUCACACAGGUACUAAAAGACAGAUCUAAGACUUAAACCCAUAUAGUGUGGUACAGAGUUUGUGCUUUUCCAUUAUUACAUUAUUUUGCCAACUGCAUGCUGAAGGUGUCAGCACUUUAGGGACUACUUCUACAGGUAGAAUCACAGAGUACCUUCACCUCCUCCAUCAGAUUGUAAAAUGUGAAAAAAUAUUGUAGGUGUGUGUGUGUUUCCUGAGUGUAACUGCCCACUGUCACAUGUUUUUUAUUUAACAAACAUUUGUUGAGUGACUUCUAUGUGUCUGAUAUUAUGCCAAUUACUGGGGAUUCGGAAAUAAUUAAGAUCUAAUCCCCACUUUCAAAGAACUGGAAGUUCUGCCAAGAUGAUUUGGUGAAAGUCAUAUAGUGCAGAUGGAAGUCUGGAACACUGUCCACACCAGUAUAAACGAGGCAGGGCAGUCUGUUCCCAUGUUAUCAGAAGAGUGUCUGCACUUGAGUCUUUGAAGAUGAUACCUGGGCAUCCCUGGGGGUCCUAUUAUUUUUACCAUUAAGCAAUGUGAAACCAUAAAAUGAUUAGGGUCGGCAUGCUUUUAGAGAAUUAAUGUUCUAACAAAUUGGGUGAUUUUGCUCAGCUUGGCUAUUGAGGAUAACAUAUUGUGAAUUUACUGAGCUCAUCUGUGACCAGAUUCCUCUGCAGGGUAAUUGAAAGUGAAUGGAAAUGGCUAUUUAUGCAUUCAUAGCCAUUAGAUAUUGCUUUCAUCUCUGAUUUCUUUGGAUGAUGAGUCAAAAUAUAUACUGAAAUCAUUGCCUGCGGGUGCCGCUUUGCAUGUUCAAUUAACAAGGGCCUAUGCUUGAUACUGGCUGUGGAAAGGCAGAUGGUGAAGGGAAACUGUACUGUUACACUCAGAAGUGGUCCACUAGCCAAAUGGAGGUAUGUUUCCGAAUUGCCUCUCCUUCUUUCAGGGUUUGAUGGCCACUAGGAAUGUGUGUGGCCCUCUGCUAGGUUCGCAAUCCUCUGGUGGCAUUGCCCAAUGGUUUUGCAAGGAUGCUAAGAAAAACUGAAAAAAACAAAAAGAGUUAUUGGUAAAAUACAUCUAAGAAGGAUUUAUUGAAUAAAGUUAAGUGUGUUUUUUAGUGUAGGGUUUUUCAGAGUCCUGAGUACACUUAUGUGAAUUGCAAAGCUGUAUGAAAGAGAGGUAAUGAGUUCAUCAAACUUACAUAAGGAAGAUAGUGCUUACUGAAUACUCUGUACUAUUUAUUAGGUUAAAUAGUUUUCCUAGAUUACUUUAUAUAGUGUAUGUAACUGCUAUAUGAUAUAUAUUUUUUUUUUGUAAUGAUAGCACUAAGGUCUGGUGUGAGUGGUGCUUGACAGGACAGCCAAGGUCAUAAUGAGGAAGUGACUUUUCAGGAUUUGAAAAAAGCAGUUUGGCCAGAGAACUCAUACUCUUCAUGAAGCACUCUAUUUCUUCCUUUUAAAUUUUUUCCAAAAAGGCUCUUGUUCAAGGUGAGGUCCACAGAUCACAUCGAGUAAGGAAUUUUUAGGAUAAAAGUAGCAGAUGUUCUGGGAAAUCCCCUAGAUCAGAGACACACAUUAAUGCCAGUAUAGAUAAGGAAAUACAAACAGUGUUAAAAAUUAACAUUUUUCAACUCAUCCCACCUAUUUCUGUUCCAUAAGUACAAAUGAAUGAAUGGUUCCUGGACUUGAGAAUGAAAACCAUGUUCAAAUCUUCCUAAGCAUUUGAGUCAUAUUGUACUUAUCUAGCUCAUUCUUCACUUCUCUAUGCAAACAUCACCAAGUUCCUAAUGAUACUAUUUCAGUAAAUUCAUACAUUUUUGAGUGCAUAUGAUGAGCUGGGUCCUGCACUAGCUAUUACAUUCAGAGAAAGUUUUGAAGUCAAUGCAAGAAUCUGACAGAAGUGUGGAACUGAUUGUUUGUAAGGCUGGUUGGGGUAUGCAAUUAAGGGAUGACAUCCCCAGUGGUCCACCUAAGACUGCACUCUUGAAUUAGGAAGAUGUAUCCAUCUAAGUCUUGGAAGAACAGUUCAAUCUCUUCACUCUCCAUACACUUAUUCUGUAGUAAUGACAAAGAAUAUGGGUGUCCAGAAGGCAGGCAGGGCCCAAAGGAGGGGUAGAUGGGACUGAUUUCAGUAUACUUGAUUUCUUCUCACACAUUUUCCAAUGAAAUAAACUACCUGGAGAGAAGUAAGGGAAGGCUUAGAGAUUCAUUAGAUGUUCCUCCCAUGUUUUUCUCUUCUGAGGAGGAGAAGAAAUAAUCCUAUUCUAUGGAGCUAGAAACAAAUACAGGGGAAAUAAUCCACUUCCCUGAAUGUUAGUGAUGGGAAAUAAAUAACACUGCUCAGCCUAUAUAGUCUCCCAAGGCACUCAGAGUCUAGCAGAAAAGACAGGCAGAUAAAUUGACAACUAAAACGUUGUGAAGUACCAGUACAAGUGAGGAGGUAAAGCAGAAGGUUAUUUGGCCCCAGGACUAUUUUCAGCCACUUAAACACAAAAUGUACAUUGUUUUCUUCCAUCUAUCAGGAUGACAUUUGUACAUAUUAAUAUUUUCAUGUAUUCAUUCAAACAUCAAACAUAUAUAGAAUAUGGACAAGUACACGCCCUGGAAAUACAAAGAUGAAGCCAGAAAACUGCCCCUCCCAGCUUUAAAAAGAAAUAUUCUCAUGGGUUAAUUAUUGUGAAAUAGUGGUUCAUUGGUUAUGUGGAAAGUCUUCAAGAUAAUGCCACACAGAGUAUAAAGUUUAGGGGAGGGAGAUGUGUAGAGCAGGUUAGGGACACCACCCCAGCACUAUAAAUUGGAAAGGAGGAAGAGAGAAAGAAUGGUAAAAAAUGGGCAGUGAACCUCAGGAAUGAGUUGUGGAAGGGCUCUCUCCCAGUCAUCCCAGAUUUGUCCAGAAUCAGUAGGUCGUUUAUUAGGAUAGGAUUGUACCCAUGCAAAGUCAAGUGAGGCCAGGGAACAAAGCAAACACUUAGAAUUGAACUGAUAAAACACUGAGAGUGGUUCUAACUAUUCUGUUCUCCAAGAACAUGAGCUGGUAGUUAUUCUAUUUGUGAAGAGAAGAUGGAAUGAUUGAGGAUUUAGAAAUUGAGAAGCUAAGCUAGCUAUAAUGAAAUAUAGUGGAUAUAGUAACCAGAGUACUCUAAUAUUUGUCUCCACAAAAUAAGACGCAAGAAUUAAAAUAAUAAAAACUUCUAUGUAACGUUACAUUACUUGCUUGAUUGGGAAGGGAACAAAGCCAUUACUUGCCAGAGUGAAAUGCUGUUUCAGGGGAACGUAUGUAUGUCUCUUUAGAAACCUCACUCUGGAAUGCUGGCAGUUGGAAAGACAGCAAGAACUUUCUUUUUCUUUCCCCAACUCCAGCACUCCUGGUCAAACUCUAUGGUUUAUUAUUUUAAUCCAUCACACCACCUUCUAGCACAUGUAUCAUUUACUUUUUUUUUUUGUUUCCUAUUUAUCUUCUGUCUCUCCCACUGAGAUAUAAGAUCCAUGAGGAUGAAUCUUUAUUUGUUCCUCAAUAUAACCCAGGUACCUAGGAGAGUGUAUACCUGGCAUGCUGUAGGCUUUCAACCAGUGUGUGUUGCAUGAUGAAUCAUUUGCGAAAUUCCUCUGGAGAACUAACUUAGAGGUAGUCUCAUGGAAAAAAAGAAGUUUUAAGGGGGAAAAAGGAAUCUUUGUGAAAAACAUUCAGUGACUUUGCAACAGAUCAUUGCCAGGAUAUGAAUUAGGGAAGAAGACAAAGCCAACUGAGCUGUUAGCAGAAUGUAGUGAUGUGCUGAGAAAAAACAGCUCCCGUGGAGGUAUUUAAAUAAGAAACUUAAAAUUACAAAACUAAUCUUUCCCCACCUCUUCUGCUGAUUAUUUUAAGAUACAAAUGUCCAGGUGGUGUUCACUUCUUCUCCUGAUGAUUUCAUCAACUGUUUUGUAGGAAAUUACUGGUUAGCUUAUUUAAUGGCUUACCAGACCCAGCAGAACCCGACACCUCUGGAAUCUUUGGGGCUGUGAAACUGGUGGUGCAGCUGGGUGCCAUAAAUGAGUUUUCUGGAUCUCCACUCAGCUGCUGCAAUUGAGGAGGCAUUGAAAAUUGUCUCUGUUUUUCCUUCUUUAAUCCCAUAAUUGUUUUCACUUCAGAAGACUGGGUUAAUUAUAUGGUAGCUAUUUUAGGUUUGCUUCUGCCUACAUAAUGUUUGUGUUUGGUGAUUUUCCUUGGCUAAAUGGAAAGCUUAUUCUUGGGUGUCAGGAAUGAAAAGGACAGUAAUAGUAGCCAGUAUUUGUGCAGCAAUGAUCACUGAACUUUACUUCAUUAAGUCAUCAUAAUGACCAUGUUGAGUGGUAUCUAGGGUAUAAGCAUUCUAUUUCAAAUUACUUGAGGCUUGGAGUUGUCAAGUUGUGUGUUCAGAGUUACGUAGCUAGGCAGAUACUGCAGGUAGCACUUAGACCAAAUGCUGGGAACCAAAAUCCUGGGCAAUCUUUACUGUCCGUAGGUUGUCAUAGUCCUUAUACAACAAUCGCUGCAUCAUUAGUGUAAUCAUAAAAUUCUGCCUAGUGAAUUGUAGACUUGAGAAGUAUAUGAACUCUUGAACUUUAAGAGUGCAACCUUUAUUUCAUAUAAAAUCUUUUUCUGUUACAGUAACUUUGUGAUGUAAAAAGCAAAGAAACUUUUCCUCCCAAUUUUAUUCAGUAGUUUCAUAUCUCUAAAAAUACACAAAACAUCCAGAUUAGCAUCGAGAUAAGAUCUAGGCCAUUACUGUUAGUCUUUUUUUUUUUUUCUCCUUGGCUGCAACUGGAGUGUCCAGAAAUAACAUGGAAACUUCUAACCUUCUUUCUUCACCUCACUACCACCAGACUGUAUGCCAUAAGAGGCAUUAAGAGGCUAAGAAACAGAAUUGUUGUAGGAUGGAAUCCAACAAGACUCCUAUUUUCAAACUCUAUUUGAGUACUGAUAUAUUCUAAUAAUUUUUUUAUCAUUAAAUAGCUUUUCUUAGUGGUGUUUCUUCUUUCUCUCUCUCUCCUUCUCUCUCUCUCUCUCCUUCUCUCUCUCUCUCUCUCUCUCUCUCUCUCUCUCUCUCUCUCUCUCUUUCUCUCUUCU